CUCAUUUUCCAUUGGUAUUGGACCCAUUCCAUGGAUUAUUAUAUCUGAGUGUAGCAACUUUGACAAAUUGUUUGUCAUCUUGGAUUGUGACCAUGACAAUCAAUAUGCUUUUAGAGUGGAGCUCUGCAGGAACAUUUCUACUUUAUGCUUUUAUUAGUGCUUUGACACUAGCCUUUGUUGCAUUGCGUGUACCUGAGAGCAAGGGUAGAACAUUGGAGGAAAUUGAAGCUUCAUUCAGAUAAGGUCAAGAUAGUAUUAUAUACCUCUUCAUUCACGAUCAUUUGCAACCCUUGGAGUUACUUAUGAUGACAAGAUCUCUUGAAUGUAGAAGAUAAAGUUUUAAUUCAGAAGUUAAUGUUUACUACCAGUACCACCUAUGGAUUGCCGUUGUAUAAUUAAGAUUGUAUAUUACAGAAGUAGAGAAAUCUGGCAUGCACUACUUCUCAAUCAUUUUGAGAUAUGAUAAUAUUUUCGUCCUCGAGUCAUUUGUAAUAUAAGAAAUUCCCUAAUUUCAGUGGAGGAUAUAAGACAAGUUUUAUAUCUUCAUUGUAUCAUGCCAUCUUGCCAACCAUCUUCCUUGAGCUUCAAAUUUUGAAAAAGCUCAUUGUCAAAUAAUAAG